CACCAGGCGCGAAAACUUUGCAAUGCACGAAAGUGUGACAGGGUCAUCCCGAGUGCCGACCGCUGAGGUUGGCUUUUACCCAGUCUAAAAAGCUGGGGGAAUAAGGAGAGGGCAAGUCUGGUGUCAGCCCCGCGGUAAUACCAGCUCUCCGAGUGGUGUGGACGUUUAUUGGGCCUAAAGCAUCCGUAGCUGGCUGAACAAGUCCCCUGUUAAACCCACCGAUUUAAUCGUUGGUCUGCGGGGGAUACUGCUCGGCUAGGGGACGAGAGAGGCAGACGGUAUUCCCGGGGUAGGGGUGAAAUCCUAUAAUCCCGAGAAGACCACCAGUGGCGAAGGCUGUCUGCUAAAACGCGCCCGACGGUGAGGGAUGAAAGCUGGGGGAGCGAACCGGAUUAGAUACCCGGGUAGUCCCAGCUGUAAACGAUGCAAACUAGGUGUUUGGACGGCCACGUGCCGUUCUAGUGCCGCAGGGAAGCUGUUAAGUCUGCCGCCUGGGGAGUACGAUCGCAAGAUUGAAACUUAAAGGAAUUGGCGGGGGAGCAC
rnacentral:rRNA from 1 species